rnacentral:rRNA from 1 species
UAUCAAAAACAUGUCCAUAUGAAAAGUUAUAUAUGGUCUGGCCUGCCCACUGACGAAAAGUUAAAGGGCCGCGGUAUUCUGACCGUGCGAAGGUAGCAUAAUAAUUAGUCUCCUAAUUAGAGGCUUGUAUGAAUGGUCGGACAAGAUGGGGUCUGUCUCUAUACAAUAAAUAUAAAUUAAUAUUUAAGUAAAAAAACUUAAAUGAAAUGAAGGGACGAUAAGACCCUAUAAAGCUUUAUAGUGUAACUCUUUUUUACUAGUUUUACUAAUAUUAAAAUAUUAAAGAAAUAAUACUAUUUUACUGGGGCGGUGAGAGUAUAUAAAAAUAACUGCUUUUAUUUUAUUAAACAAUAAUAAUUGAAAAAUUAAUUGAUCCAUUUCUAAUGAUUAUAAGAACAAGUUACUUUAGGGAUAACAGCGUAAUUUUUUUUGAGAGUCCUUAUCGAAAAAAAAGUUUGCGACCUCGAUGUUGAAUUAAGGAUAACCUUAAGGUGCAGCAGCUUUAAAGGUAGAUCUGUUCGAUCUUUAAC